rnacentral:rRNA from 1 species
CCUUUGACGUUAGCGGCGGACGGGUGAGUAACACGUGGGUAACCUACCUAUAAGACUGGGAUAACUUCGGGAAACCGGAGCUAAUACCGGAUAAUAUUUCGAACCGCAUGGUUCGAUAGUGAAAGGUGGUUUUGCUAUCACUUAUAGAUGGACCCGCGCCGUAUUAGCUAGUUGGUAAGGUAACGGCUUACCAAGGCUACGAUACGUAGCCGACCUGAGAGGGUGAUCGGCCACACUGGAACUGAGACACGGUCCAGACUCCUACGGGAGGCAGCAGCU